rnacentral:rRNA from 1 species
UGAUCCCUAUUAUACUAAAAAUAAAUCCUGUAUACUUGAGUAGUAACAGUUAUUUUCUUGAAACUUAAAGAAUUUGGCGGUAUUCAAGUCUAGUUAGAGGAACCUGCUCUUUAAACGAUAUGCCACGAAUUAUCUUACUUUCUCUUGUUUAGUAUGUAUACCGCCAUUAUUAGGUAGUGUUUUUAGAUAUCUAUUGUAAUACAUAGUUGUAAUAUAUUAGGUCAAGGUGCAGCCCAUGGGAAAGCAGUUGGUGGGUUACAAUAUAUUUUAUAUCCGGAAGAUCUCUGUAAGUGGGGGUUUAAAGUUGGAUUUAAUUGUAAUUUUUUUUUAAUAAGUAAAUUUGAUAGUAGCUCUAGAAUAUGUACACAUCGCCCCCGCUCUA